UACGGGGGGGGCAAGCGUUGUUCGGAAUUACUGGGCGUAAAGGGCUCGUAGGCGGCCAACUAAGUCAGACGUGAAAUCCCUCGGCUUAACCGGGGAACUGCGUCUGAUACUGGUUGGCUUGAAUCCGGGAGAGGGAUGUGGAAUUCCAGGUGUAGCGGUGAAAUGCGCAGAUAUCGGGAGGAACACCAAUGGCGAAGGCGGCUUACUGGUCCGGUUCUGACGCUGAGGCGCGAAAGCGUGGGGAGCGAACAGG
rnacentral:rRNA from 1 species